GAUAUGGUGGCACAGUGGUUAAGUGCGCUUGACUUGAGAUCAAGAGAUCCUGAGUUCAAGUCCUUGCCAUAGCU